rnacentral:lncRNA from 1 species
CAACAAUGGGCUCCCGCACGCCUGUUUCAUGUAAAUCCGGGGCCCCAGCCCUGCGAGCCCCGGCCCAGCCCCUACACCCCCGCCCUUCUCCAAAUGUUUGCACCUCCAUCAAAGCGGCGGGGCAAGCCCCGGAGGAAGCGCGCCCGGAUCCCGCAGCCGCGCCAGGCUGGAACGUUCGCGCGGCCUCACCUGUCCCCGCUCCAGGCGCGCCUCCCUCCCCUCCCAGGGACGAGCGCAUUUGGCCGGGCUUUGGGAUGCGCCGCGCUCGUCUCGCCGCAGUAGUAGUGCUGUUCUCGCGCCUCCGAUGCCUCAACUCUCCAGUCUGGCAGUUUCCGGUGCACCUGUCCCCACACGUCCCUCGCCCACGGAGCCCCAGGCGGCGUUACGCACACCCAGGAUCGUGGAUCAGCCUGCCCCGGCGUCGGGUGUCCCCGCGGCUCUCACCAUCUGGAAAAGGAAGGUCCGCGCGCAGAGAGGGAAAUGGACGGAAAUAAGCAAAAGCAAAACAACCCCUUCUGAGAAGUGUCCUCCUCGCUCUCUUAUAAAAACAGGACUUGUUGCCGAGGUC